rnacentral:rRNA from 1 species
AUACGGAGGGUGCAAGCGUUAAUCGGAUUUACUGGGCGUAAAGCGCGCGUAGGCGGUUUGGUAAGUCGGAUGUGAAAUCCCAGGGCUCAACCUUGGAACUGCAUUCGAUACUGCCUCACUAGAGUAUGGUAGAGGGAAGUGGAAUUCCGGGUGUAGCGGUGAAAUGCGUAGAUAUCCGGAGGAACAUCAGUGGCGAAGGCGACUUCCUGGCCCAAUACUGACGCUGAGGUGCGAAAGCGUGGGGAGCAAACAGGAUUAGAAACCCCGGUAGUCC